UGCCCAGCAACUCCUAUCCCUACCUCCUCGUGGUACUGGCCUGGGUACGAGUAACCUUAGGGAAGAUUGGAUAACCAACGAACAUUGUUCGUAUGCUGACAGGGAAGG
rnacentral:ribozyme from 1 species